AAAGAGUCAUCCCAAAAAAGCCUCUAACUUUUAAAGAAAGCAUUAAUAUGUUUAU
rnacentral:tRNA from 1 species